rnacentral:lncRNA from 1 species
CCACUUUCCCAACUCCAGGAAGCUGCUGAUCACUAGUUUCAGGUGUUUUCUAUGUAGCAGGAGAUGGCCUUUCCCUGGCACUGGCUGUGACCAAUUAUUAUUUUAGAGAGACAGUUAACAACGGCCUGACCAUUACUGACCAUUACCUGAUUGUCACCUGACAUUCCUGAUGUGUGUGACAGGAGGUGGGGGGGGAGUGUGAAGUCGGAGAGAGCCCUCUUCUACCCUGCUUAUGCCUGAUGAGCUACCUACUAUAACAUAUUCCUGUGGAAUAGGAAGGGUUAAAUGCAGGAAGAAGUGGGUUUGCAGCCACUACAGACACUGGAACUGAAAACUGACAAGACAGCUGGAGGUGCUGGGAAAACAAGCACUAAUGAGCUCCUGGGUUCCAUCUUGUGGGAGAAUGCCAGCAGAUGACUUCAGGCCCAUGUGCUGAACACUGCCAAGUUACAAGUCAUGGGCACAUAAAGAUGCAAAUAUGCUCAAGGCGGCUCUACCAUGGCAAAACAGACCAAGCCAACCAUCCCGGCCAGAUGGUAUGUGGUUUGAGUGCCAGGUACCUUCCAGAUGUACAGCACCUUUGAUAUAAGAACAAGGAAGACACGAUGCAUCGCAAAAAGAGCACCUGAAUUCUGGUCAUAGCUUUUAGCUCUGGAUCUGUCAUUUCCCCUUACUGAGCCUCAGCUGCCACAUCCAUUAAGUGAGAAUUAAAACAAUCAACCUAAAUGUAUGGAUGUCAUGAAGAUGCAAUGAGACCGUGGAUGUCAAGUGAUCAGUGUGGCCUGUGGCUAGAGGAGACACUCAGUAAAGUAGAUUCUUUCUGCCUUACUCCUCUUUUCUUUGUUGUUAUAGUGGCACAGUUUAGCAAUGCCACUUAGCAGAGUGAAUUGGCAGAUGAAAUGCUCAUUAAAAUGAAGCUCAUGACAUUAUUUGAUGGACGGGAGCUUCUCAAUUAAGUACCUAAGUGUUUAAGGCUAUCUGAUGCUUCCAGGAAUGUGUGCUGAAUCCUCUUUACAUUUGUUGAAAAAUGUUUUAAUCCUUCCAAGAAGGAAAGGGAUUAUCCUAAUGACUCUGCAUCUGCCAUGCCCUGGCUUCUUCAUUCCAGGCUUCAGGGACAAUAUCCAGGAGAGUCCCAACAGUGACAUCUAGAGGACAGUCUCUCCCCUCUGGAUAAAAUUUGGAUUCAAAGUGAGUCCUUAACCUGAGCAAGGGUCAUUUCAACUAUUAGGUUGGUGCAAAAGUAAUUGAGGCUUUUGACCAAUUCCUUGAUAUCACUAAGCCAACUAGUAAUAGAGAGAUAAACUGCAGGAUGGACCAUUUGUUAAACAAAGGACCACUAGGUGACCCUGAUUUCCAAAAGGAUUUGGAGAAUGCCCAUAUGAACACACUUAGUGCUGACUGAGCACAUAGGAAGUGAUCAGUAAAUAUAAAUUAAGGUCAAGUUGGAAUUCCUUUAAAUAAUUUAAAUCCUGCCUCCCCCCGCCCCCUGCCCCACCUACUUUCCUUGGGAUGUUAAGGUCUUUUCAGUCCUGACUUGUUGCAGUGUAUCUGCAACAGUUAGUAAACCUGUCUGACACUAUGGGCAUUUCCUUGGAAUUCAUUUAUACUAAACACAGGUUGAAUUGACAUUACUGUGGGUAAGUAAGAAGCAUCUUUAAAGUCUAUAAUUUAAAAGGAAAGGUGAGUCUGGAGACAUAGGGUAAAUUUUGCUAACAUUCUAAUAACCUUAAUAAAAAAACACUCCCUACCUGUUCAAAAUGCAAAAGUAUGGCAGCAAUUUUAGAAAGUUCGUUUUGGGUUCAAAUCAAUUUUAGAAAGUUAGACAGACUUAUGUUCAAAUUCCACGUCUGCCAUUACUAGCUGUGUGGCUUUGCAAAAAUCAUGCAGCCUCUUUGAAUUGUCCUGUUUUCUUCUUAAAAGUGAGAAUAAUAAAAUAACUGUCAUGGAGAGUUGUAGAGAGGAUUAAAUGAGAUAAUGCAUAAAAAUGAGCCUGGUGUCUACCACCCAAACUAUACCAAACAGUGGUUGAGUCCUGUGCCCUAGUCCAUGGUUUGUGCUGCUUGAAAUGUAGAAACUUAAGCCAACACAUGUUGUGUCUAGAUAGUUUGAAUGAAAUACAUAACAAAACAAUUUCAAGGAAUGGGCCUGCUUUCUCUCCCUUACCCUCCCUCAC